CCUUAGUAACGGCGAGUGAACCGGGAUGAGCUCAAAUUUAAAAUCUGGCGUCUUUCAGGCGUCCGAGUUGUAAUCUAUAGAGGCGUUUUCCGCGCCGGACCGCGUCCAAGUCUCUUGGAAUAGAGUAUCAAAGAGGGUGACAAUCCCGUACUUGACGCGACAACCGGUGCUCUGUGAUACGUUCUCAAUGAGUCGAGUUGUUUGGGAAUGCAGCUCUAAAUGGGUGGUAAAUUCCAUCUAAGGCUAAAUAUUGGCGAGAGACCGAUAGCGAACAAGUACCGUGAGGGAAAGAUGAAAAGCACUUUGGAAAGAGAGUUAAACAGCACGUGAAAUUGUUAAAAGGGAAACGAUUGAAGUCAGUCGUGUGAAAGGUAUUCAGCCGUCUCUGGCGGUGUAUUUGCCUUUCACGGGUCAACAUCAGUUUGAUCCGGUAGAAAAAGGCAGGAGGAAGGUGGCACCCUCGGGUGUGUUAUAGCCUCUUGUCAUAUGUGCCGGACCAGACUGAGGAACGCAGCUUGCCGCAAGGCCGGGGUUCGCCCACGUACAAGCUUAGGAUGUUGACAUAAUGGCUUUAAACGACCCGUCUUGAAACACGGACC
rnacentral:rRNA from 2 species